GUCCUCCAGGAACAGACUGCUGUCUGGGUCACAAGUGCUGCCAGCGAACCUGCUCCAGCGUGGACUGUGCUGCCAAAUGGAGGAAGGGAGCAGGCUGCACCAUAUCAGAGAACAGAAAGGGAGAUAGACAGGAUCUUCUCUGAGACUUAACAGCUUGAAGAGCCUCAGACCUCAUCUGCAGCAAGGAAGCAGGCAUUGUCUACCUCACACUAUCAAGGCUUUCUUGGGAAAAACGCUGCCGUGCAAAGAGCUGUGUGCAAAAAAACAUAGAAGGAACAGGGUCCUAUGUAGCUCCACGUAUUGCUGAAGCUUCUUCUUACUGAUUGGGAUGAGGAAGCAAAGCGAGCUGCCUGGAGGCUUCUCAGCAGCAUCGGCGCACUGAGACGUGGGGGCUCCAGGGAGGGGAGACAGAGCUGGACCCAACAGUGAGGGCAGACCCGAAAUCUUCUGCGUGUGCCGCGUUCGCUGCUGCUGUCCUGGUGAGGUGGGAAGAGUCAGUGGCUGUAACUGGUGGGAAAGCCCACUUCUCCCACUCCAGCAGGGGUCUGGCAGAGCUCUACCCCAACUGUUUCAUCCCGGGUCAUGCAGAAAGUCUGAAUCAGGUGAUCCCAAGGUGUCGGGGAGAAGAGGGAAGGACCGAUAUCCCCUGCUAACAGGACCGUGCAAGCGGGAAGCAUCUUCUGGGCUAGUGAGUGUUAAACUGUCAAAAAACGCUGCUUGUAGCUGCAUCGCUGCUCACUGCAUUCGGGAGGGUGUUACCCUGCUAAAAAAAAAUAUAUAUUCCAGUUUCACUGAAAUAGCUCUGUCCUCGCCAGACGUGCUUUGCAGGAUGGCACGCUGCUAUUCCAGCCCUGAUAAAGCUGUCCUGUUGUGCAGACAGCCUUGACGCUGCCGCUGUUCCUUCCCCUCUGUAGAAUGGGAAUCACAAUGUUUCUGUUCCCUCACCCUUUUCUCUUCAUCCUCAGAGCUGGCGAUGUCAGAUCUAUCCUGGGGACACGGCCAGAUCCCCCCGGUUCGGCUGUCAAUUCGGCUCUGCAUCCCUCUCUCCACAAUGAGCCUCCCACUGAGGGCGGCUGUGGGGGAAGGUAGGCUGUGACCUUGUGCAGCAACCAACUGCUCCCCCGUUCCUUUAUUGUUUAGGACCUUAUUGUUGCUUUCAGGAUUGCUCUGCAAGAAAGUAAGUUCCCUUUUAGGGCCAUCUCUGUUUCUGCCCUUUGUCUCCCUUCCUUCCUUCUUUUCCUGACUCUGAAUGUAGUGACGUGCAUGAUUUAUACCAGCGCAAACCCUGUGGCAUUGACGUAGAAGGAUCUGCAGCUGCUGGUGUUAGUUGGCCUGACUGGUGAAUUGCUGGAUGGUGUGGACUCCUCUCAGAGCCUGGAGUCAUUUUGUGCUCAGGGUAUGUCACGCUGCAGCGGUGGCUGCCCAGUUCCUCCCUCAGUCUGCGUGAUCUUACCUUCGUGUGGAGUUGUGCUGGCCUCCAGUCAGGCUCCACUUCUUUCUGUCCACGUGCUCCAGAAAAUACAUCUCACACAUUCUCCUAGUUAGCUCGAUGCCCUCCCGAGCCACAGUGCUUUCACCUGGUCCCGGUUUCCUUGUCCUCUGAGGAGAGGAAUAAGCACAAGUCCUGAUUUCUCAGCAAAUCCAUGUGCAAAGAUGCUACUAUUACAAUGACCGAGCAGAGAUACAAGCAGGAUGGCACCUAGAGAAGAACAAGCAGGAGGAGUCAAAGUUGACCUGUAAGAAGGCUGAGAACAAAACCCCGAUCCAGGCACAGCUGGUCUCCCAGCCUCUCACCAAGUGCAGGCUUCCUUUCCCUGUGCCAUACACAUGUUCCCAAUCAGAGCAGGUUAAAACGAGGACACCUUGCUCUAGAAACAUGGUGACACUGAUCCAGGCAUGCCACCAGCUGCGUCACAAGGCAAGUGAUGUAUUCCAAUCCCAUGAAGGGAUGAAUAUGGGUGUCCAUUUAGACAACGGCAUAAAUCGGUAAUCAAUAAAAAUUCCAGACAGUGUUCCUGUUCAGUGUGUCUCAUCAAAGCCUUUUCUUGCUGUUUUAACCAGGAGAACUUUAGCAAGGCUUUUUAUUUUCAGUCUGUAUGAGUUUGAACAGGGUGCCUUUUACCAGCAACCUUUGUCUGUGCUCUCUCCCAACCCCUUACCGCAACCCGUACUGCAGCGAUACACAAAGUCCUGCCAGCGGUGCCCUGCACAGCACA